UCCUCGUUGAAGCCAUGCAGCACCUGUGCAGGAUCUCCGAAGAGGGGCUCUCGUUUCUGAGAGCUUGCUCGUGCAUGUCAAGCCUAGGUAAGGUUCUUCGCGUUGCGUCGAAUUAAACCACAUGCUCCACCGCUUGUGCGGGCCCCCGUCAAUUCCUUUGAGUUUCAACCUUGCGGUCGUACUCCCCAGGCGGGGUACUUCCUGCGUUAGCGCCGGCACCCAGAGGGUCGCUCCCCCAGGCACCUAGUACCCAUCGUUUACGGCGUGGACUAC
rnacentral:misc_RNA from 1 species